rnacentral:rRNA from 1 species
UAUUUGGGUGAGGAUAAGCCAUGCGAGUCGAAUGGGAUACCUAAGCUUCCCAUGGCAAACUGCUCAGUAACACAUGAUCAACUUACCCUAUAGAGAAAAAUAACCUCGGGAAACUGAGGAUAAUGUUUCAUGGUUGAAUCGGCUUGGAAAAGUUUUUCAAUCAAAGGGAUAAGAAAAAUGGUUCUUAUUCGCUAUAGGAUAGGAUCGUGGACGAUUAUGGUUGUUGGUGAGGUAAUGGCUCACCAAGCCGAUAAUCGAUAGGGGCCGUGAGAGCGGGAGCCCCGAGAUGGGUACUGAGACAACGACCCAGGCCUUACGAGGCGCAGCAGGCGCGGAACCUCCGCAAUACACGAAAGUGUGACGGGGUUACCCAAAGUGUUCAAUUUUGAACUGUGGUAGGUGAGUAAUGUCCCCUACUAGAAAGGAGAGGGCAAGGCUGGUGCCAGCCGCCGCGGUAAAACCAGCUCUUCAAGUGGUCGGGAUAAUUAUUGGGCUUAAAGUGUCCGUAGCCGGUUUAGUAAGUUCCUGGUAAAAUCGGGUAGCUCAACUAUCUGUAUGCUAGGAAUACUGCUAUACUAGAGGACGGGAGAGGUCUGAGGUACUACAGGGGUAGGGGUGAAAUCUUAUAAUCCUUGUAGGACCACCAGUGGCGAAGGCGUCAGACUGGAACGUGCCUGACGGUGAGGGACGAAAGCCAGGGGAGCGAACCGGAUUAGAUACCCGGGUAGUCCUGGCCGUAAACGAUGCAUACUAGGUGAUGGCACGGCCAUGAGCCAUGUCAGUGCCGUAGGGAAACCGUUAAGUGUGCCGCCUGGGAAGUACGGUCGCAAGGCUAAAACUUAAAGGAAUUGGCGGGGGAGCACCACAAGGGGUGAAGCCUGCGGUUCAAUUGGAGUC